UACGUAGGGUGCAAGCGUUAUCCGGAUUCACUGGGUUUAAAGGGUGCGUAGGUGGGUUGGUAAGUCAGUGGUGAAAUCCCCGAGCUUAACUUGGGAACUGCCAUUGAUACUAUCAGUCUUGAAUAUUGUGGAGGUUAGCGGAAUAUGUCAUGUAGCGGUGAAAUGCUUAGAUAUGACAUAGAACACCAAUUGCGAAGGCAGCUGGCUACGCAUAUAUUGACACUGAGGCACGAAAGCGUGGGGAUCAAACAGG
rnacentral:rRNA from 1 species